CCCAGACUCCUACGGGAGGCAGCAGUGGGGAAUAUUGCACAAUGGGGGAAACCCUGAUGCAGCAACGCCGCGUGAGUGAGGAAGUAUUUCGGUAUGUAAAGCUCUAUCAGCAGGGAAUAGAAAAGAAGGUACCUGAAAAAGAAGCCCCGGCUAACUACGUGCCAGCAGCCGCGGUAAUACGUAGGGGGCAGGCGUUAUCCGGAUUUACUGGGUGUAAAGGGAGCGUAGGUGGCAUGGCAAGCCAGAAGUGAAAACCCGGGGCUUAACCCCGCGGAUUGCUUUUGGAACUGUCAGGCUGGAGUGCAGGAGGGGCAGGCGGAAUUCCUGGUGUAGCGGUGAAAUGCGUAGAUAUCAGGAGGAACACCGGUGGCGAAGGCGGCCUGCUGGACUGUAACUGACACUGAGGCUCGAAAGCGUGGGGAGCAAACAGGAUUAGAUACCCCCGUA
rnacentral:rRNA from 1 species